UACGUAGGGUGCGAGCGUUGUCCGGAAUCACUGGGUGUAAAGGGAGCGCAGGCGGGUCGGCAAGUCCUUGGUGAAAUCCGGAGGCUUAACCUCAGGACUGCCAAUGAUACUGCUGAUCUUGAGUACAGAAGAGGAAGACGGAAUUCCUGGUGUAGCGGUGAAAUGCGUAGAUAUCAGGAAGAACACCGGUGGCGAAGGCGGUCUUCUGGUCUGUAACUGACGCUCAUGCUCGAAAGCGUGGGGAGCAAACAGG
rnacentral:rRNA from 1 species